GUCUAUGGCCAUGCCACCCUGAGCAAGCCUGAUCCCAUCUGAUCUCAGAAGCUAAGCAGGGUCGGGCCUGGUUAGUACUUGGAUGGGAGACCACCUAGGAAGACAAGGUGCUGUAAGUG
rnacentral:rRNA from 1 species